rnacentral:rRNA from 1 species
CAGCCGCCACGGGAAUACGAAGGGGGCUAGCGUUGCUCGGAAUGACUGGGCGUAAAGGGCGCGUAGGUGGUUAUGUAAGUGAGAUGUGAAAUCCCCGGGCUCAACCUGGGAACUGCAUCUUAUACUGCGUAGCUGGAGUGCAGUAGAGGGUAGUGGAAUUUCCGGUGUAGCGGUGAAAUGCGUAGAUAUCGGAAGGAACACCAGUGGCGAAGGCGGCUACCUGGACUGACACUGACACUGAGGCGCGAAAGCGUGGGGAGCAAACAGGAUUAGAUACCCCUGUAGUCCCUGUCUCUUAUAC